UUACAGUAUUUGUUCACUUCAAGCCCUUCCGUCUGAAGGUGGCUUGUUUCUCCAAUGAGCGGGAGGGAGGGUAGCGGCUCCCGACCUGCCAGACGUGUGCUGUAGCCCCAGCCUGAGUCUCCUCCUUUCUCUGAUGACUCUCCAUUUCCCUUUCCAUGUUGAAAAAUUGCCUUUAACUUCAUCAGUGAUGCAUAUAUUGACUUUUUUCAGGGGUUGGUAGUAUUCAAGGACGUGGCGAUAGACUUCACCCAGGGAGAGUGGAACUACCUGGGUGCUGCACAAAAGGACUUAUCCAGAGACGUGAUGUUGGAAAACUACCACAACCUGGUCUCUGUCGUAGGACUUUCCAGAUCUAAGCCAGAUGUGAUCUCCUUAUUGGAGCAAGAGAAGCAGCCUUGGAUGGUUACAAAGGCCAUGACAGGUGGACCUUGCCCAGCAUUAUUCACAAUACCCAACGUAUGGAAACCACCUGUGUUGAUCAAUGGAUGAGCAGAACGAGAAAAUGGGAAGGCCAUAUAUGCAAUGGAAUAUCAUUCAGUCUUAUAAAAGAAGGAAAUCCUGUCAUUUGCAGCAACAUGAAUAAACCUCAAGGGCAUUAUACUAAGUGAAAUAAGCCAGACAGAGAAAGAGAAAUGCUGCAUGGUAUCACUUACAUGUAGAAUCUUUAGGAAAAAGAAAAAAGCCAAACUCAUAGAAAGUAGAAAAGAGAUUGUCAGGGGCUGCAAGUAGAGGAAAAAGGCAGGGGAGGGUCAGAGAGGGAGACACAGAAUCCAAAGUGGGCUCCAGGCUCUGAGCUGUCCGCUCAGAGCCUGACGUGGGGCUUGAAUCCGUGAACUGCAAGACCAUGACCUGAGCCAAAGUCGGACACUCAACUGAGCCACCCAGUCACUCCCCCAAAUUUUUUAAAUUUAUUUUUGAGAGGCGGGUUGGGGCAUAGAGACACACACACACACACACACACACACACACACACACACACAGAAUCAGAAGCAGGAUCCAGGUUCUGAGCUGUCAGUAUAGAGCCCAAGUAGGGCUCCAACUCCUGAAUUGCAAGAUUGUGAUCUGAGCUGAAGUUGGACAUUUAACUGACUGAGCCGCCCAGGCGCCCCUAAGACUUUCAUUAUUUUUGAUGCUGUUAAUAGAUUUUUUUUUUUUGUAAUUUCCUUUUCAGAUUAUCUGUGUUUGUGUAUAGAAAUGGCAACCGAUUUUUGUGUGCUGUCUUUGUAUCCUGGUACAAUGCUGAAUUCAUUAGAUCUAACAACUUUGUGUGUGUG